GGAUUAUCUUAAACGUUUACCUACACUGAGGGGCAAUCCAUAAGUAUCAUACUUAUGAAUGUACCUCUUGGACUUUGAGUGUGAUCUAGUGAAGACGUGUACUAUGCCCUUAAAAUAUCUCCGACCCCUACGAAUAGUUGUUGAAGGCAUCGCUAGCGUCAACAACUUCUAAACGAAAAAGGUAGAUUGUAGUAUUCUUUUGAUGAUGCUCUCAAGAAUAUAGACUAGUCCUAACUUCAAUCUAUCUAACAUCUCGUUGCAUUCCCUGAUUACGUCAAUCAACUGCAGUAGAAGCUUUGUCCUGUCCCUGAAAAUAUGCAUUAUGUAGCCUAUUACUUCUUUGAAAAUCGUCACGAGCUGCUUCAUCGCCCAUAAUCUUUAGUCUAGUCAUCAUGACAUCCUACGGGGUGGAGAUGAUGGGGCCCGUCCACGAAUUUUCCUUCAUUUUCUUUUGCCAAACUCAAACAUGGAGAAAGUAGCAACAUCGUUCCAGAAAUCGAAGUGGAAGGUAUCGUCGUCAAUUGGCUUAAGCAGUCAACAUAGUAAUAUAUCAAUGAUUUGCCCAGACUAGUGCAGCUCUCUCAAUUGAUAUAAUGGCCAGACGAAGAACUAGCGUAGUAUAUUCGCAUGUUAAUCAUCUAGCAGCUUCAGUAUAGUAGUGAAACUAUCGAGCUACUAUUCCAAGUACUUUUCUCGUCAUCCGUCUCAACUCCGCAUCUAGAUGGUACUCGAUCUUGCAAAAAUUCAAAUGUUAGAACACUAAACAAAAGAUAAUGGAAUAAAAUAUAAUCUUAGAAAAUUAAGCGAACCGAAUUAUAAUUACUAUACGCAAGACAUAGAUUCAUUUUACAUCGAUGCUAAUAAAAAAUAAAUGAUUUAAUAAAUUAAAGGAGAAGAAAAAAAGAAUUACAA
rnacentral:lncRNA from 1 species